CGUGAGGGAAAGGCGAAAAGAACCCCGGCGAGGGGAGUGAAACAGAACCUGAAACCGUGUACGUACAAGCAGUGGGAGCCUUCGUAAGAGGGUGACUGCGUACCUUUUGUAUAAUGGGUCAGCGACUUAUAUUCUGUAGCAAGGUUAACCGUAUAGGGGAGCCGAAGGGAAACCGAGUCUUAACCGGGCGUUAAGUUGCAGGGUAUAGACCCGAAACCCGGUGAUCUAGCCAUG
rnacentral:rRNA from 1 species